rnacentral:lncRNA from 1 species
GGCCAAGUUCUUUUGUGAAUUGGCACAUCCUUUUUUUGAUUUGCUUUCUCUGAACAUAUCUAUAAGUUCCUGAACUGUGUCCGAUGCUUAAGUCCGUUGCUUCCAUAUGAAUGUGAUCUCAAAUCAAAAGAAAAGUAGAGUUUGGUCGCACUUAUAUACAUGUACUAACUUUGUACAUCUUCUGGCCUCAGGAAGAAACAGAGAGGUCAAAUUCAACGCACCGGUCCUCAGGUGACCAAUCGGUACACACGCAACACACCUUCGUCGAAGAAGAAAGAAUCAAGAAUUGCACACCCCUGGAUCAGCCGAGCGUCUUGCAGUAAUGGAGUUCACUGACGCCAGACGAUGGUAUCGAAACAGUCAAUCCCGUCGAACUCCGGUGCGAACCGCGGCCGCCGCGUCUCCUCCCGCGGCCGUGGAAGCUGCGACUGCGAGUGCGAUUUCCCCUUUCCAAGCUGCUGCUCAGCCUCCGGCGCCUUCUCGUCCUGCUGCAUGCCCCGCCAGGAAAUCCUCGCCCAGCUGCCGCGGGUGCCGUGGUUGUUAUCGGCCGGCGAUGCGCUCAGGAUAAAGGCGACGAGCAUCUUGUCCAUGACCGAUUAGAGACGGGUGAAUGAUUCCCGCAGCAGAUUCGGUGGUCGUUGCUUGGUUCCUGUGUUGCUAAGGUUGGUGGAGGGAG